rnacentral:misc_RNA from 1 species
AACCUGCGGAAGGAUCAUUACCACACCGAUCCAAGAUCAGUCUUCAUUGUGAAUUCGAUUGCAGUGGCAACUGGCUCAUCUAGAGCCUUUUGUCAGUGUCGUCAACUUUCUGCUAGGUGACGAGCUUGCAUAGUAAUAGCCUGCCAGUAUUGUAUUGCAUUGUAUUGUAUAUAUAUAUAUCACUGGCAGAGCUAAUGCAUUCUUCCACUGGCCCCCCCAAUUCUUAUUCUUAACGAUUGGUAACUGGAAAGAACCAACUGACCUGAAGCAAAAAUGCAGAGGUUAGGCGCUGCGCCUUGUUGCCAGCGCCACCCUGUACAUUAUACCUAAUACAUUACAACUUUCAGCGGUGGAUGUCUAGGUUCCCACAACGAUGAAGAACGCAGCGAAAUGCGAUACGUAAUGCGAAUUGCAAGACCUCGUGAAUCAUUAAGAUUUUGAACGCACAUUGCGCUUUCGGGAUUUUCCCGGUAGCAUGCUUGUCUGAGUGUCUGUGGAUCCCACUCAGCGCUGGUCUGGUCUGAUCUAUACGAUACGGACCGGGUCAGCUGCUGGUUGCUCUGGCCUUGACUGCUGCUUGUUUUACUUUACUACUAGCGGCUGUCUCUGCUUAAGUUCUACGUCACUGUACGUGCAUAGAUCUAGAAGCUUCGAUGCGUCUCACGAAAGACGGCGUUGACACUCUUGUCUAUCUCUGGUAGGUUGCAUCAGUGCAAAAUAUCUUGAGUUUGUUGAGAGAGUCAUGUUGAGCUGUUUGGAGUGUGUGUGUCGAGCGCAGCUAGGUCUAGCUAGUAACUAGUGUAACUAGCUAUCCAAUUCCGGAUCUCAGAUCAAGCAAGAGG